rnacentral:rRNA from 1 species
GACGAACGCUGGCGGCGUGCUUAACACAUGCAAGUCGAACGGAAAGGCCCUGCUUUUGUGGGGUGCUCGAGUGGCGAACGGGUGAGUAACACGUGAGUAACCUGCCCUUGACUUUGGGAUAACUUCAGGAAACUGGGGCUAAUACCGGAUAGGAGCUCCUGCUGCAUGGUGGGGGUUGGAAAGUUUCGGCGGUUGGGGAUGGACUCGCGGCUUAUCAGCUUGUUGGUGGGGUAGUGGCUUACCAAGGCUGUGACGGGUAGCCGGCCUGGGAGGGUGACCGGCGACAUUGGGACUGAGAGACGGCCCAGACGCCUACGGGAGGCAGCAGUGGGGAAUAUUGCACAAUGGGCGGAAGCCUGAUGCAGCAACGCCGCGUGCGGGAUGACGGCCUUCGGGUUGUAAACCGCUUUCGCCUGUGACGAAGCGUGAGUGACGGUAAUGGGUAAAGAAGCACCGGCUAACUACGUG